GAUGAACGCUGGCGGCGUGCCUAAUACAUGCAAGUCGAGCGAACAGACGAGGAGCUUGCUCCUCUGACGUUAGCGGCGGACGGGUGAGUAACACGUGGAUAACCUACCUAUAAGACUGGGAUAACUUCGGGAAACCGGAGCUAAUACCGGAUAAUAUAUUGAACCGCAUGGUUCAAUAGUGAAAGACGGUUUUGCUGUCACUUAUAGAUGGAUCCGCGCCGCAUUAGCUAGUUGGUAAGGUAACGGCUUACCAAGGCAACGAUGCGUAGCCGACCUGAGAGGGUGAUCGGCCACACUGGAACUGAGGCACGGUCCAGACUCCUACGGGAGGCAGCAGUAGGGAAUCUUCCGCAAUGGGCGGAAGCCUGACGGAGCAACGCCGCGUGAGUGAUGAAGGUCUUCGGAUCGUAAAACUCUGUUAUUAGGGAAGAACAAAUGUGUAAGUAACUAUGCACGUCUUGACGGUACCUAAUCAGAAAGCCACGGCUAACUACGUG
rnacentral:rRNA from 1 species